CCAUAGGAUGGCACGGCCUCCCCCCCAUGAACUUGGUGCUGUCGGGCGUGGAGUAUUUUUCCAACUCUCAGCCCCAUUCCCACGGCCAAACUGAGAACGUGAACAAAGAGGCGAGCGUCCCCUUUGGCACCAAUCGUAAGCCAGUGUUCACUGCAGCCUCACCUGGAGAUGCAAUUUGAUAGAAGAAUGAGAAGAAGAAAAGAAACAGAGCCGGGGAACGCCUGGUGGGCCGGCCUUGUCGCCAGCCAUUGGUCACUCAGCCUCAUGCCGCACAGAGGUGGCCUCUGUCCCCUUGGUGCCCAGGGGACCCCCCUCCUGGGGGAUGGGAACGUGUUGGGCCUGCAGGCAGGUGACAGGGAUGCUUCCUGUGAGGUGGGAGGAAGUGAACACGAAGGGGCGGGCCUGACCCCUCGAGUGACACUCACGUGUGGGCAGAUUGGCUUCGGGAAAGAGCAGGGACGCUGAGGACCUGGAAACCGGGUCCCUCGGGAAAGUCACAAGGCGCUCUCGACCCCCAGGCGAAC